CUGUGCAACCUCACUGGAUGGGAGGAAAAUGGCGCUGGUAAGGAGGAGCCGAAUGGUGCCCGUUACGAGAACCACACCAGCGCGCAGAACAUGACCAUUAUACGUACGUACGAGACUCAAUCGACGAUCGUGCACACGAUCAAGAAUGUGCUGAAGGAUAUGCCAAAGAAGAGCGAAGCCAUAUUUGGAUGGACUUUGGUUGACAUGAACUUUGAGGACAGUGUCGGUCGGAAAUGCCCACUGUACGCCGAGUCGACGGCUGCUUUCGCGAGAACUGAAGCUGUGCGUCGUGAAAUAGGCAAACAACACCGAUACGCGCUGCGAAAGCUGCUAGAACCUUACUGACUAUAGACAUAUGUUUCGAGCAGGGGACUGCUUUUCAAUGUGCCUUUGAAUAUCAAGUUCGUGUGCCCGGCUGCUGUCACCAGCAAACCCUAAGGUGGAAUGAUUGAAACAGUGUGAUUUUAUAUAUAUAAACGUUGAU
rnacentral:lncRNA from 1 species